AUGAGAUGGGCUCUUGGGCGGGUUUUGGUUGGGGCGGGUGGUGUCUCGCUGACGAAUCGGUUGGGGAUUCGUGUUGGUUCGAGCCAAUUCGACCUGCUGAAGGUCUCACCUGAGAGCAUUUCGGUUUUGGCUUCCACGGAUGACCUCCAUUUGGGGGACGAAGGAGUUGAUCCUGCUCCGCUUCUGCUCUGGAGAGUACUGUUGCAUUUUGUUGCUAAUUUUAUACUGGCUCCUAGGUGUGGGCGUGGCCUACUUAUGGUUCGUCUGAUGGGCACUCAUCCGUGCCAGAUGUACCUGUGUUACUUGGCUGCACUUGUGCCCUGA
rnacentral:rRNA from 1 species